rnacentral:rRNA from 1 species
GACGAACGCUGGCGGCGUGCUUAACACAUGCAAGUCGAACGGAAAGGCCCUGCUUUUGUGGGGUGCUCGAGUGGCGAACGGGUGAGUAACACGUGAGUAACCUGCCCUUGACUUUGGGAUAACUUCAGGAAACUGGGGCUAAUACCGGAUAGGAGCUCCUGCUGCAUGGUGGGGGUUGGAAAGUUUCGGCGGUUGGGGAUGGACUCGCGGCUUAUCAGCUUGUUGGUGGGGUAGUGGCUUACCAAGGCUUUGACGGGUAGCCGGCCUGAGAGGGUGACCGGCCACAUUGGGACUGAGAUACGGCCCAGACUCCUACGGGAGGCAGCAGUGGGGAAUAUUGCACAAUGGGCGGAAGCCUGAUGCAGCAACGCCGCGUGCGGGAUGACGGCCUUCGGGUGGUAAACCGCUUUCGCCUGUGACGAAGCGUGAGUGACAGUAAUGGGUAAAGAAGCACCGGCUAACUACGU